rnacentral:rRNA from 1 species
UACGUAGGGUGCGAGCGUUAAUCGGAAUUACUGGGCGUAAAGCGUGCGCAGGCGGUUCGUGAUGUCUGAUGUGAAAGCCCCGGGCUUAACCUGGGAAUUGCAUUGGAAACUAGCGGGCUGGAGUGUGGCAGAGGGGGGUGGAAUUCCACGUGUAGCAGUGAAAUGCGUAGAGAUGUGGAGGAACACCGAUGGCGAAGGCAGCCCCCUGGGCUAACACUGACGCUCAUGCACGAAAGCGUGGGGAGCAAAC